UUUUUCGCCUCCGUUUAAAGCGCCCAAAGGCUACAUCCCCCCUAACCCGAGAGCCUAAGAGAAGAGACCCCCCUUUAUUCCCUUUGGAAUCGGUCUUAAACCACAGAGCCAGGGUUCCGGUGACGUGACUUUGGGGUUUGGGGUAAGUCUCAUUUUCACUUUUCUUCUUAUUUUUUUGUCUAAAACAAACUUGAAAAUAGAAAAAGAAAAAAAAAGUAAAAUAGAAUAGAAAUCAGGAGAUAAAAAGAGAAGAUCAGAUUCAACCUUUUUUUUAUUGCUUAAAUCGCGUGUAAAAACCAAAAUACAUUGAUCUUUCUGGCUUUUAUAGCCGAAUAAAACUUCCUAUUCUACUGUUUAUUUCACUAUUGGUGUUGUUCAUGAUUUUGCUUAUGCUACUAUUUCUAUAAUCCUUGUUUCUGUCUUUCUUUUUUCUUUUUGCAGGGUCGGCGCUUAGACAACUAAGGGGAGAAGGGUUUCUUUUUCCAUUUCGGUGCAAACUUACAGACGAGCCUCGGGACGAGGUACGGGCGACGUGGCCGAGGAGGGCAUAGGUGCGGCGCACAUAAAAUUAGGGUUUAGGCUUUUCUAAAAAAAUGUUUAGGUACAUGGGCUUGUUAUCUUUGGACUAAGUUUUUAGUUUUGGGUCUGCAGAAAUUUAGAAUUGUGUUUUGGACUCUGGACUGGUAAUUUUUAUA
rnacentral:lncRNA from 1 species